UACGUCGGGUGCAAGCGUUAAUCGGAAUUACUGGGCGUAAAGCGUGCGCAGGCGGUUGUGUAAGACAGAUGUGAAAUCCCCGGGCUCAACCUGGGAACUGCAUUUGUGACUGCACAGCUGGAGUGCGGCAGAGGGGGAUGGAAUUCCGCGUGUAGCAGUGAAAUGCGUAGAUAUGCGGAGGAACACCGAUGGCGAAGGCAAUCCCCUGGGCCUGCACUGACGCUCAUGCACGAAAGCGUGGGGAGCAAACAGG
rnacentral:rRNA from 1 species